rfam:Triticum aestivum genome assembly, contig: Triticum_aestivum_CS42_TGACv1_scaffold_423288_5BS
UACAUACUUCCUCUGUUUCGAAUUACUUGUCGCAGGUAUGGAUGUAUCUAGAUGUAUUUUAGUUUUAGAUACAUCCAUAUCAGCAACAAGUAAUUUGGAACGGAGGGAGUACGUA